UUAUACCAUCGGUCGCCGCAGUUUCUUGGCUGGUCUCUCAAUCGAAACGGAUAACUUAUGUUGUGGAUAUUGCCGCAGGAAGUAGCACAGUGAUCAUUGUCCUUAGCGCCGCAAGUUUGAUGGACUAGCAGUAGUAGAACAAUAACGGCGGUGAGUCCUGCAGGGAGGGACAUGACACCUCUCGUCAUUGAGAGAGAUCGAGAGAGAGAGAGAACCAGGAAAUUAGGGGAUUAUGAAUUUAUGAGAGAGGGUAAAGUAUCCAACCCUGUAAACAAGCAUGUAAUAUAUAGGUGUACAUAAAAAUAUAUUUUAUA